rnacentral:rRNA from 3 species
UCCAGGCAAAUCCGGAUAAUCAAGGCUGAGGUGUGAUGACGAGGCACUACGGUGCUGAAGUAACAAAUGCCCUGCUUCCAGGAAAAGCCUCUAAGCAUCAGGUAACAUUAAAUCGUACCCCAAACCGACACAGGUGGUCAGGUAGAGAAUACCAAGGCGCUUGAGAGAACUCGGGUGAAGGAACUAGGCAAAAUGGUGCCGUAACUUCGGGAGAAGGCACGCUGGUGUGUAGGUGAAGUCCCUGCGGAUGGAGCUGAGACCAGUCGAAGAUACCAGCUGGCUGCAACUGUUUAUUAAAAACACAGCACUGUGCAAACACGAAAGUGGACGUAUACGGUGUGACGCCUGCCCGGUGCCGGAAGGUUAAUUGAUGGGGUUAUCCGUAAGGAGAAGCUCUUGAUCGAAGCCCCGGUAAACGGCGGCCGUAACUAUAACGGUCCUAAGGUAGCGAAAUUCCUUGUCGGGUAAGUUCCGACCUGCACGAAUGGCGUAAUGAUGGCCAGGCUGUCUCCACCCGAGACUCAGUGAAAUUGAACUCGCUGUGAAGAUGCAGUGUACCCGCGGCAAGACGGAAAGACCCCGUGAACCUUUACUAUAGCUUGACACUGAACAUUGAGCCUUGAUGUGUAGGAUAGGUGGGAGGCUUUGAAGCGUGGACGCCAGUCUGCGUGGAGCCAACCUUGAAAUACCACCCUUUAAUGUUUGAUGUUCUAACGUUGGCCCCUGACCGGGGUUGCGGACAGUGUCUGGUGGGUAGUUUGACUGGGGCGGUCUCCUCCCAAAGCGUAACGGAGGAGCACGAAGGUUAGCUAAUCCUGGUCGGACAUCAGGAGGUUAGUGCAAUGGCAUAAGCUAGCUUGACUGCGAGCGUGACGGCGCGAGCAGGUGCGAAAGCAGGUCAUAGUGAUCCGGUGGUUCUGAAUGGAAGGGCCAUCGCUCAACGGAUAAAAGGUACUCCGGGGAUAACAGGCUGAUACCGCCCAAGAGUUCAUAUCGACGGCGGUGUUUGGCACCUCGAUGUCGGCUCAUCACAUCCUGGGGCUGAAGUAGGUCCCAAGGGUAUGGCUGUUCGCCAUUUAAAGUGGUACGCGAGCUGGGUUUAGAACGUCGUGAGACAGUUCGGUCCCUAUCUGCCGUGGGCGCUGGAGAAUUGAGGGGGGCUGCUCCUAGUACGAGAGGACCGGAGUGGACGCAUCACUGGUGUUCGGGUUGUCAUGCCAAUGGCACUGCCCGGUAGCUAAAUGCGGAAGAGAUAAGUGCUGAAAGCAUCUAAGCACGAAACUUGCCCCGAGAUGAGUUCUCCCUGAGACUUUAAGUCUCCUGAAGGAACGUU